rnacentral:hammerhead_ribozyme from 17 species
CAAGCGUCUGGGGUAAGCAGUCGCUGCCAUCAGCCCCACUGAUGAGUCUAGCCAGUGAUUCGGAGACGAAACGCAAA